rnacentral:rRNA from 1 species
GAUCAUGGCUCAGGCUGAACGCUAGCUACAGGCUUAACACAUGCAAGUCGAGGGGCAGCAUGGUCUUAGCUUGCUAAGGCCGAUGGCGACCGGCGCACGGGUGAGUGACACGUAUCCAACCUGCCGUCUACUCUUGGACAGCCUUCUGAAAGGAAGAUUAAUACAAGAUGGCAUCAUGAGUUCACAUGUUCACAUGAUUAAAGGUAUUCCGGUAGACGA